AUGCAAGUCGAACGAAGCUUAGGACUUCGGUUUUAAGCUUAGUGGCGGACGCCUGAGUAACGCGUGAGUAACCUGCCUUACAGAGGGGGAUAACGUCUGGAAACGGACGCUAAUACCGCAUGACAUUUCAGCACCACAUGGUGCAGAAAUCAAAGGAGCAAUCCGCUGUAAGAUGGACUCGCGUCCGAUUAGCUAGAUGGUGAGAUAACAGCCCACCAUGGCGACGAUCGGUAGCCGGACUGAGAGGUUGAACGGCCACAUUGGGACUGAGACACGGCCCAGACUCCUACGGGAGGCAGCAGUGGGGGAUAUUGCACAAUGGAGGAAACUCUGAUGCAGCAACGCCGCGUGAAGGAAGACGGUCUUCGGAUUGUAAACUUUUGUACUUGGGGACGAUAAUGACGGUACCCAAGCAGCAAGCUCCGGCUAACUACGUGCCAGCAGCCGCGGUAAUACGUAGGGAGCGAGCGUUGUCCGGAUUUACUGGGUGUAAAGGGUGCGUAGGCGGCUUGGCAAGUCAGUUGUGAAAACUAUGGGCUCAACCCAUAGCCUGCAAUUGAAACUGUUGAGCUUGAGUGAAGUAGAGGUAGGUGGAAUUCCCGGUGUAGCGGUGAAAUGCGUAGAGAUCGGGAGGAACACCAGUGGCGAAGGCGACCUACUGGGCUUUAACUGACGCUGAGGCACGAAAGCAUGGGUAGCAAACAGGAUUAGAUACCCUGGUAGUCCAUGCCGUAAACGAUGAUUACUAGGUGUGGGGGUCUGACCCCCUCCGUGCCGGAGUUAACGCAAUAAGUAAUCCACCUG
rnacentral:rRNA from 1 species